UCGACUUCUUGGCUUG
rnacentral:sRNA from 1 species